AGGGGUUUCUUGACACGUAGCAAAAUAGCCUGACUCAUCAUUUGUUCGCUGAAGCUCGUCAUCUCUCGCCAUCAGACCAUAACUCUCUGCCUUUGUUCGCUGACUCUCGCUAACCUUCGCUGAGCGAAUGUUCAUUUGUUGUUCAGCUCGCUGAGGCUCGCUGAUCUUCGCCAAGGACCCUUAACCCACUGGUUUUGUUCGCUCCAGCUCGCUGAGGCUUCGCUGAGCGAAGGCUUCAAAAUCCUGCCUUUUUAUAGCCAUUCCUAACAAAA
rnacentral:lncRNA from 1 species